rnacentral:rRNA from 1 species
UACGAAGGGGGCGAGCGUUGUUCGGAAUUACUGGGCGUAAAGGGCGCGUAGGCGGCGAUCCGAGUCAGAUGUGAAAGUCCUGGGCUUAACCUGGGGACUGCAUUUGAUACUGGAUUGCUUGAAUGCAGGAGAGGAUAGCGGAAUUCCCAGUGUAGAGGUGAAAUUCGUAGAUAUGCGGAGGAACACCGAUGGCGAAGGCAAUCCCCUGGGCCUGCACUGACGCUCAUGCACGAAAGCGUGGGGAGCAAACAGG